rnacentral:piRNA from 1 species
GUGAGUGUUACAGUUCUUAAAGGUGGCGUGU